AGGGAAUCUUCCGCAAUGGACGAAAGUCUGACGGAGCAACGCCGCGUGAGUGAUGAAGGUUUUCGGAUCGUAAAGCUCUGUUGCCAGGGAAGAACGUCUUCUGGAAUAACUGCCAGGAGAGUGACGGUACCUGAGAAGAAAGCCCCGGCUAACUACGUGCCAGCAGCCGCGGUAAUACGUAGGGGGCAAGCGUUGUCCGGAAUUAUUGGGCGUAAAGCGCGCGCAGGCGGCUGUUAAGUCUGGGGGAUAAUCCUGGGGCUAAACUCCGGGUCGCACUGGAAACUGGACGGCUUGAGUGCAGAAGAGGAGAGUGGAAUUCCACGUGUAGCGGUGAAAUGCGUAGAGAUGUGGAGGAACACCAGUGGCGAAGGCGACUCUCUGGGCUGUAACUGACGCUGAGGCGCGAAAGCGUGGGGAGCAAAC
rnacentral:rRNA from 1 species